GCUACCACAUCUAAGGAAGGCAGCAGGCACGCAAAUUACCCACUCCCAGUUCGGGGAGGUAGUGACGAAAAAUACUGAUGCGGGACUCGUUCCGAGGCCUCGCCAUCAGAUUGAGCUCAGUCUAAACCAUUGGACAAGUUUCGACUGGAGGGCAAGUCUGGUGCCAGCAGCCGCGGUAAUUCCAGCUCCAGUAGCGUAUGCUAAAGUUGCUGCGGUUAAAAAGCUCAUAGUUGGAUCUCACGGUCGGAACGGCGGCCCACUAAAGGUUUCGACCAGCGCUGUGGCUAGUCGGUGUACUCGUUACGCUUGGCUUCCGUGGUUUGCUUGCGUCUGCCUGGUGGUCAACUGUCCGUCUCCGGCUCGAGACUCCCGCUGGUUCGCGAGGGAUGCCUUGUCUCGUACGGGUGUCCCGAGUGACCGGCACGUUCACUUUGAAUAAAUUAGAGUGCUCAAAGCAGGCAAAGUCUUAUGCCUGAAUGAUGGUGCAUGGAAUGAUGGAACAGGACCUCGGUUCUGCUCUUUGGUCGAUUUUUUAGAAUCGAGGUAAUGAUUAAAAGAAACAGACGGGGGCAUUCGUAUUGCGACGCUAGAGGUGAAAUUCUUGGACCGUCGCAAGACGAACUACUGCGAAAGCAUUUGCCAAGAAUGUUUUCCUUAAUCAAGAACGAAAGUUAGAGGAUCGAAGGCGAUCAGAUACCGCCCUAGUUCUAACCAUAAACGAUGCUACCUGGCGAUCCGUCGGCGUCAUACCCACGACUCGACGGGGAGCCUCCGGGAAACCAAAGGCUUUGGGUUCCGGGGGAAGUAUGGUUGCAAAGCUGAAACUUAAAGGAAUUGACGGAAGGGCACCACCAGGAGUGGAGCCUGCGGCUUAAUUUGACUCAACACGGGGAAACUUACCARGUCCAGACACCGAAAGGAUUGACAGAUUGAGAGCUCUUUCUCGAUACGGUGGUUGGUGGUGCAUG
rnacentral:rRNA from 1 species